AGUGAACGCUGGCGGCAGGCCUAAUACAUGCAAGUCGAACGGCAGCACAGCAGAGCUUGCUCUGUGGGUGGCGAGUGGCGGACGGGUGAGGAAUACAUGGGAAUCUGCCCAGUCGUGGGGGAUAACGUAGGGAAACUUACGCUAAUACCGCAUGCGCCCUUCGGGGGAAAGCCGGGGACCUUCGGGCCUGGCGCGAUUGGAUGAGCCCAUGUCGGAUUAGCUAGUUGGCGGGGUAAUGGCCCACCAAGGCGACGAUCCGUAGCUGGUCUGAGAGGAUGAUCAGCCACACUGGAACUGAGACACGGUCCAGACUCCUACGGGAGGCAGCAGUAGGGAAUAUUGGACAAUGGGCGCAAGCCUGAUCCAGCCAUGCCGCGUGAGUGAAGAAGGCCCUCGGGUUGUAAAGCUCUUUCGGCCGGGAAGAAAUCGCACAGGUUAAUACCCUGUGUGGAUGACGGUACCGGAAUAAGGAGCACCGGCUAACUACGUG
rnacentral:rRNA from 1 species